rnacentral:rRNA from 1 species
AGCGAACGUUAGCGGCGCGCCUAACACAUGCAAGUCGCACGGAGUAGCAAUACUCAGUGGCGCACGGGUGCGUAACACGUAGAUAACCUGCCCUGAAGAGGGGGAUAACGUUCCGAAAGGAGCGCUAAUACCGCAUAACGCUGAGACGGGUUCGCCUGUUUCGGACAAAGGCUGGGACCAGCAAUGGCCAGGCGCUUUAGCAGGGGUCUGCGGCCCAUCAGCUAGUUGGUAAGGUAAUGGCUUACCAAGGCAAAGACGGGUAGCUGGUCUGAGAGGAUGAUCAGCCACACUGGUACUGGAACACGGACCAGACUCCUACGGGAGGCAGCAGUGGGGAAUCUUGGUCAAUGGGCGCAAGCCUGAACCAGCGACGCCGCGUGAGUGAUGAAGGCCUUCGGGUUGUAAAGCUCUGUGGGGAGGGACGAAAGACUGAGGUCUAAUAGGCUUCAGGUUGACGGUACCUCCUUAGCAAGCACCGGCUAACUCUGUGCCAGCCGCCGCAGUAA